rnacentral:misc_RNA from 1 species
GAUGAAGAACGCAGCAAAAUGCGAUAAGUAGUGUGAAUUGCAGAAUUCAGUGAAUCAUCGAAUCUUUGAACGCACAUUGCGCCCGCCAGUAUUCUGGCGGGCAUGCCUGUUCGAGCGUCAUUUCAACCAUCAAGCCCCCGGGCUUGUGUUGGGGACCUGCGGCUGCCCGCAGGCCCUGAAAACCAGUGGCGGGCUCGCUGUCACACCGAGCGUAGUAGCAUCAUCUCGCUCAGGGCGUGCUGCGGGUUCCGGCCGUUAAAAAGCCUCUAAUACCCAAGGUUGACCUCGGAUCAGGUAGGAAGACCCGCUGAACUUAAGCAUAUCAAUAAGCGGAGGA